rnacentral:sRNA from 1 species
GCCAGGCAUAGUGGUGCACACCUGUAAUCUCAGCUACUUGGGAGGCUGAGGCAGGAGGAUUUCAAGUUAGAGGUCAGCAUGGCAAUUUAGUAAGACCCUGUCUCCA